CGUAAGGCUUCAGUUGACUUGCUUCAAUGCUGCGGAUCCUGUUGUGAUGCCUGAAACAGACAGGAUGAGAAUUGGAGAGAAUCGAGUUUCCUUAAAGAAAAAAAUAUAACCAGAGAGAACAAUUGAUUCCAUCACUCGCCAGUUAGCUUUCCACGCUGACCUUCCCCGGCUUUUAUAAAUCCAGACAAAACCCUUUAAAAGAAGCCCAGCUCAGUGAAUUGAAAAUGUUUUUCACGAAUGGUGAGGAAAGGUCAUUUUAGCAAAGAAGAAAAACUUCAGCCUUCUCAUUCCUGCAAUGAAUUCUACAUGAGAGGGAUCCCUGAGCCUCGACGGAGCUCCAGAGGGUAUGUCUACACUGCAAUAAAAGCCCCACAGCUGGAGCCUGAGCGUCUUCACAGCAAUUUUUAACCCUGAGCUCCUGAGCCUCAAUCAGCGGACCUGAACCAGCCACAGGUUUUUUAAUCCCCAUGUAGACAUACCCUGAUACUGUAUAUUCUCAUUGUAUGCCUAAGGGAAAACAGUGAAAUUGACUAUGCAAAAGGGGCUGUCAUAUUCAUAAAUUAAACACCCGGAAAAAAGAAUUUCUCU